rnacentral:rRNA from 1 species
UACGUAGGGUGCGAGCGUUAAUCGGAAUUACUGGGCGUAAAGCGUGCGCAGGCGGUUUUGUAGGCCAGAUGUGAAAUCCCCGAGCUCAACCUGGGAAUGGCAUUUGGGACUGCAAGGCUUGAGUGCGGCAGAGGAGACUGGAAUUCCUGGUGUAGCAGUGAAAUGCGUAGAUAUCAGGAGGAAUACCGAUGGCGAAGGCAGGUCUCUGGGCUGACACUGACGCUCAUGCACGAAAGCGUGGGGAGCAAACAGG